AGAGCUAUGAACCUGCCCCAAUACAGAACCGGUCCAGAAUCGAUCAGGAUCGUCAGAAGUGAACAGAAGACGACCGCCGAUGAAAUCUAGAUUUAAAAAAAUGAAACACAAGGACAUCAAAAAUCGAUUUAAAAACUAAUAUUUUAUUUUCUAUGUAACUCCGUGGACACGCUCCGGUCUCAGAUGCAGGGAUGAAGCUCCAAUCAUAUAUUUCUUUUUUCCAGCCUUACAGAUCUCUUCGGCUCCCCACCAUGCAUCGUCACCUAAAUAUAAAGAAUAAGAAAUAUGUGCACGUGUGUUUCUGAACUCUCUCUACGACAUGCUGCUGAUUCUCACGUUGUGCUUCGUGUGUUGGACAAAUGUGAAGUGCUUGUGUCGGAGUGAGCAGGACUUUAUUGACAAAUGUCUGCUAUCUGUUUGUUGUGUUUUAUAUUAUCAGAAUAAAGUCUAUUAACAUGUGAGGGGUGUUUUAUUUUGGCGGGUUGAUGUGUACACUGACGGUACGUCCACACGGCAGCGUCGCGUGCUUCAACGGAGACGCUUCCCCUUCACUUUGAAUGGGGUGACGUGACGCUUUGCCGAACUGCAUUGUGGUUCCCUCGCGUCGCUUUGCCUCCUCCGUUGCUCGCUUCGAAAGUUGAGAAAAGUUCAACUAUUCAAGCGCCAGCCAAUCAAAUCAUAUGCCAGGACAAGCUCUAGCCAAUCAAACCGCAUGCUUGUGUGUCCGGGGCGGGAGAUUAAUGUGAUUGGUUGUUGGUCGCCCACCGACAAGCUUCAACGCGACGCUGCCGUGUGGACGUGCCGUGAAGUGUGCAAAGGGUGUGGCGUUAGAAAGCGUAAAUGUUAGGUAAAUAUUUUUGAGUUAUGCAUCACCUGGCUUAUUAAACUAAUCCUCCUCCUGCUCUUCCUCCCCCUCCUCCUCCUCCUCUCCCUCCUGAAUGAAAUAUGUGUCGUAUCAGAGGUCACUCUCACAUCCUUAGAUUUGAUCAUGUUCAUUAUUAAAGUUAUGCUUCUCUGUU